GUGUCAGCCGCCGCGGUAAUACGAAGGGUGCAAGCGUUACUCGGAAUUACUGGGCGUAAAGCGUGCGUAGGCGGUUUGUUAAGUCUGAUGUGAAAGCCCUGGGCUCAACCUGGGAAUGGCAUUGGAUACUGGCAACCUAGAAUGUGGUAGAGGGUGGCGGAAUUCCCGGUGUAGCAGUGAAAUGCGUAGAUAUCGGGAGGAACAUCCGUGGCGAAGGCGGCCACCUGGACCAACAUUGACGCUGAGGCACGAAAGCGUGGGGAGCAAACAGGAUUAGAAACCCUCGUAGUCC
rnacentral:rRNA from 1 species